rnacentral:miRNA from 1 species
AAGGACUUUGCCUGGGGCAUUGGCCCUGCCAUGGCGUUCCGGAGGGCUGAGGGCACGUCCAUGAUCCAGGCCCUGGCCAUGACGGUGGCUGAGAUCCCCGUGUUCCUAUA